rnacentral:rRNA from 1 species
GUGAACGCUGGCGGUAGGCCUAACACAUGCCAGUCGAACGGCAGCACAGUAAGCGCUUGCUCUUACGGGUGGCGAGUGGCGGACGGGUGAGGAAUACAUCGGAAUCUACUUUUUCGUGGGGGAUAACGUAGGGAAACUUACGCUAAUACCGCAUACGACCUACGGGUGAAAGCAGGGGAUCUUCGGACCUUGCGCGAUUGAAUGAGCCGAUGUCGGAUUAGCUAGUUGGCGGGGUAAAGGCCCACCAAGGCGACGAUCCGUAGCUGGUCUGAGAGGAUGAUCAGCCACACUGGAACUGAGACACGGUCCAGACUCCUACGGGAGGCAGCAGUGGGGAAUAUUGGACAAUGGGCGCAAGCCUGAUCCAGCCAUACCGCGUGGGUGAAGAAGGCCUUCGGGUUGUAAAGCCCUUUUGUUGGGAAAGAAAAGCGGCAGGUUAAUACCCCGCUGUUCUGACGGUACCCAAAGAAUAAGCACCGGCUAACUUCGUG